UACGGGGGGAGCAAGCGUUGUUCGGAUUUACUGGGCGUAAAGGGCGCGUAGGCGGUCAGCACAAGUCAGUUGUGAAAUCUCCGGGCUUAACUCGGAAAGGUCAACUGAUACUGUGCGACUAGAGUGCAGAAGGGGCAACUGGAAUUCUCGGUGUAGCGGUGAAAUGCGUAGAUAUCGAGAGGAACACCUGCGGCGAAGGCGGCUCUCUGGGACGGUACUGACGCUGAGACGCGAAAGACGUGGGAGGCGAACGG
rnacentral:rRNA from 1 species